AUUGAACGCUGGCGGAAUGCUUUACACAUGCAAGUCGAACGGUAGAGGGGGCAACCCCUCGAGAGUGGCGAACGGGUGAGUAAUAUAUCGGAACGUGCCCAGUCGUGGGGGAUAACGUAGCGAAAGUUACGCUAAUACCGCAUACGAUCUAAGGAUGAAAGCGGGGGAUCGCAAGACCUCGCGCGAGUGGAGCGGCCGAUAUCAGAUUAGGUAGUUGGUGGGGUAAAGGCUCACCAAGCCAACGAUCUGUAGCCGGUCUGAGAGGACGACCAGCCACACUGGAACUGAGACACGGUCCAGACUCCUACGGGAGGCAGCAGUGGGGAAUUUUGGACAAUGGACGCAAGUCUGAUCCAGCCAUUCCGCGUGCAGGAUGAAGGCCCUUGGGUUGUAAACUGCUUUUGUACGGAACGAAAAGGUCUCUCUUAAUACGGGGGGCUCAUGACGGUACCGUAAGAAUAAGCACCGGCUAACUACGUGCCAGCCGCCGCGGUAA
rnacentral:rRNA from 1 species